UGAGGAAUAUUGGUCAAUGGACGAGAGUCUGAACCAGCCAUGCCGCGUGCAGGAUGACUGCCCUAUGGGUUGUAAACUGCUUUUAUUGGGGAAUAAACCUUUCUACGUGUAGGAAGCUGAAGGUACUCAAUGAAUAAGCACCGGCUAACUCCGUGCCAGCAGCCGCGGUAAUACGGAGGGUGCAAGCGUUAUCCGGAAUCAUUGGGUUUAAAGGGUCCGCAGGCGGAUUUAUAAGUCAGUGGUGAAAGCCUAUUGCUCAACAAUAGAACUGCCAUUGAUACUGUAAGUCUUGAAUUCGGUCGAAGUGGGCGGAAUAUGACAUGUAGCGGUGAAAUGCUUAGAUAUGUCAUAGAACACCGAUAGCGAAGGCAGCUCACUAGGCCUGGAUUGACGCUCAGGGACGAAAGCGUGGGGAGCAAACA
rnacentral:rRNA from 1 species